GACGAACGUUGGCGGCGUGCCUAAUACAUGCAAGUCAACUGAAAUACCGGUAGCAAUACUGGUAUGGAGGUGGCGCACGGGUGAGUAACACGUAGGUAAUCUGCCUUCAGGUCUGACAUAACCCAUCGAAAGGUGAGCUAAUAUCAGAUGAUGCAGCGGCUUGACAUCAAGACAGUUGUUAAAGCUUCGGCGCCUGAAGAUGAGCCNGCGUCUGAUUAGCUAGUUGGCGGGUAACGCCCACAAGGCUGCGAUCAGUAGCUGGUCUGAGAGGAUGAUCAGUCACACUGGAACUG
rnacentral:rRNA from 1 species